CAGCAGCCACGGUAAUACGUAGGGUGCGAGCGUUAAUCGGAAUUACUGGGCGUAAAGCGUGCGCAGGCGGUUGUGUAAGACAGGUGUGAAAUCCCCGGGCUUAACCUGGGAACUGCGCUUGUGACUGCACAGCUAGAGUAUGGCAGAGGGGGGUGGAAUUCCACGUGUAGCAGUGAAAUGCGUAGAGAUGUGGAGGAACAUCAGUGGCGAAGGCGGCCAUCUGGGACAACACUGACGCUGAGGCACGAAAGCGUGGGGAGCAAACAGGAUUAGAUACCCCCGUAGUCCCUGUCUCUUAUAC
rnacentral:rRNA from 1 species